CUUCCGGGAGGGACCCGGAAGUACUUAAGGAUCUCGGCUGGAAGGCGGCGGACGCGGCUGGCUGGGUUGUAUGUUGACGAUUUUCCGCGUUCGUUGGUCCUGCUGCCGCCGCCGCCGCCAACAUGGGGAAGCGACAGCACCAGAAAGACAAGAUGUACAUUACCUGUGCUGAAUACACCAACUUCUAUGGUGGCAAGAAACCAGAUAUUCCACAAACAAAUUUUCGUCGUUUACCUUUUGACCACUGCAGUCUCUCUCUGCAGCCCUUCAGCUACCCGGUCUGCACCCCUGAAGGCGUCGUCUUUGACUUGCUGAACAUCCUUCCUUGGCUUAAGAAGUACGGGACCAACCCCAGCAACGGCGAGAAACUGGACGGGCGGUCCCUGAUUAAACUGAACUUUGCAAAGAACAGUGAAGAGAAGUACCACUGUCCAGUGCUGUACACCGUGUUCACCAACAACACCCACAUCGUGGCCAUCAGGACCACUGGCAACGUCUAUGCCUACGAGGCAGUGGAGCAGCUCAAUAUCAAGGCCAAGAACUUCCGAGACCUGCUGACGGACGAGCCCUUCUCCCGGCAGGACAUCAUCACCCUCCAGGACCCUACAAAUUUGGACAAAUUCAACGUCUCCAACUUCUUUCAUGUUAAGAAUAACAUGAAAAUAACUGACCCAGAUGAAGAAAAGGCCAAACAGGACCCAUCUUAUUAUUUGAAAAAUACCAAUGCCGAGACCCGAGAAACACUGCAGGAGCUCUACAAGGAGUUCAAGGGGGACGAGGUCCUGGCGGCCACCAUGAAAGUCCCAGAGAAGAGGAAGGUGGACAAGCUGAAUGCGGCCCACUAUUCCACUGGGAAGGUUAGCGCCUCCUUCACCUCCACCGCCAUGGUUCCAGAGACCACCCACGAAGCAGCUGCCAUUGACGAGGACGUGCUGCGCUACCAGUUUGUGAAGAAGAAGGGCUACGUGCGGCUGCACACCAACAGGGGCGACCUCAACCUGGAGCUGCACUGCGACAUGACACCAAAAACCUGCGAGAACUUCAUCAAGCUCUGCAAGAAGCAGUAUUACGAUGGCACCAUCUUCCACAGGUCCAUCCGGAAUUUUGUGAUCCAGGGAGGUGACCCCACUGGCACAGGCACGGGUGGGGAGUCUUACUGGGGAAAACCCUUCAAAGAUGAGUUCCGGCCCAACCUCUCGCACACCGGCCGGGGCAUCCUCAGCAUGGCCAACUCGGGGCCCAACACCAACAAGUCUCAGUUCUUCAUCACCUUCCGCUCCUGCGCUUACCUCGACAAGAAGCACACCAUCUUCGGGCGGGUUGUCGGUGGCUUUGACACACUAACGGCCAUGGAGAAUGUGGAGAGUGAUCCCAAAACUGACCGCCCUAAGGAGGAGAUCCGCAUCGACUCCACCACGGUCUUUGUGGACCCCUACGAGGAGGCUGAUGUUCAGAUCGCCGAGGAGCGGAAGAAGACACAGCUCGCGGAGGCGGCCCCCGAGAGCACAGUGAAGAAAAGCCAGUCCAAGUCAGGGAACCAGGGCCCCCCAACCUACCGCCAGGGGGUGGGCAAGUACAUCAACCCUGCAGCCACGAAACGUGCGGCUGAUGAGGAACCAUCCACCAGCGCAGCUGUCCCCGUGGCCAAGAAGAAGCCCAGUGGAGGUUUCAAGGACUUCAGCGCAUGGUAGCAGCAGGCCUGCUGCUCGGACCCGGUAGGGACGCGGUGCUGGUUUCCACACCCCGAGCCUGUGCCCGCCCGGCUUCCCUUCUCCUGACCUUGACACUACCUCAGCUCUCCUGAAGUGCCUGCUUCAGAAGCCGGGGACAGCUGCCUCCUCCCGGGAGCCGUCUCCUCUACCCUGGGGCUCCAAAAGAUCCCUGUUCCCCUCACACCUCUUCUCAACGCUAAGGUCCUUGGGUCGGCACAGCCCACCACCUCCUCCCGCUCAGCACGCUGAAGUUCUAACUCCGUUUCAUCCUUCGUUUCUCACCCCAAACCUCAAUUCCGUCAGUAAGUCUCGACAGUUCUUCCAGAAUGCACCUGGCUCUUCUCCCAGCUCUGAUGCUCAACACCAGGCCCAAACCCGGUGUCUCACCUGCCUCCUCCUGUGGCCCUCGUGCACGGCCACACUGACGCUGAGUCACCUUCCCACAGCUGCUGACCUGACAGUGGCUCUUCGCUGUGCCCGUCCCUCUGUGGUCUCCCUGCCCGUCAGCUGUCUAGCUCCUCUGCACCUUCAGUCACAGUGGUCCCUCGCUUCUUCAUGACCCCUUCACACCACCCUCCAAGCUACAGAUGCCUGCGAACUCACUCGGGAAAGGCUGUUUGCACCAGCGCGGUCUCCGAGAGCCUGGCAGACCCAGGAGGCGGCAGGCAGGUGGGUGUGUGACAGCACAGGGCCCGGCUGCCUCUGGAGAAGACCCUGGGAUCCCGUGGGGGCGGUGUGGCCCCAGGGCCUGUCCCUCAGCAGCAGAGCCAAGCACCGGCUACUGCAAAGGAGACGCUGGACAUGGAAGCUUUAUUUCUGAACCUCACACUGACACAGAGGCGGGGGAGGCUGUGUGCUCGCGCUGGCAGUCCAGCUCCGAGGGGGGCCUCCGGGCUAGGCCAGGCUGCAGCCCCACGGAGCGGCCCCCAGGUGGGCCCAGAGCCUUUGACAAAUGAGGUUUACAUUCUGUAGGUUACUUUGGAGCUUACAUUGUGGUUUUCCAGAAAUUAAAAGCACUUGGAUUUUCUAAGUACCUGGUGAGGUCAUCAGGUAAAUUAAAGGACUUUUGAAAAAUUCCCAUUUCUGAUCCUUGCUAAUAUCUGACAGAUGCCAUCAAGAAUAAGUGUUAAGGUAUAAAAAUACUAUAUAUGUAUAUACAAAACGGCAACAAGACUAAACCACGUUUCUAAAGCAAAUGUACUGAGCCAGAGGACACAGCCCAGUUUUAAGUUAAAUGCAUUUGUAAUCCUGGCAUCACCUCCCACUCAGGGAAAAAAUAGUUUAAAUAACUUAAAAGUCAGGAUGACAUUUGCUGUUUCGGAAUUUGAGAGGGUGGAACACACCAGCACAGAGUUGUGGCUCGUGCAUGUCCUUCCCUGAAGCCAGCUCAGUUCAUUUGGUUUCAAAAGGAGCUUGGGUUUUGCAGACCAACAAAAAAGUGGUGAGAAUAUUUGUAUCAAUUAUAUAAAAAAACAAAA